AGUGAACGCUGGCGGUAGGCCUAACACAUGCAAGUCGAACGGCAGCACAGAGGAGCUUGCUCCUUGGGUGGCGAGUGGCGGACGGGUGAGGAAUACAUCGGAAUCUACUCUGUCGUGGGGGAUAACAUAGGGAAACUUACGCUAAUACCGCAUACGACCUACGGGUGAAAGCAGGGGAUCUUCGGACCUUGCGCGAUUGAAUGAGCCGAUGUCGGAUUAGCUAGUUGGCGGGGUAAAGGCCCACCAAGGCGACGAUCCGUAGCUGGUCUGGGAGGAGGAUCAGCCACACUGGAACUGAGACACGGUCCAGACUCCUACGGGAGGCAGCAGUGGGGAAUAUUGGACAAUGGGCGCAAGCCUGAUCCAGCCAUACCGCGUGGGUGAAGAAGGCCUUCGGGUUGUAAAGCCCUUUUGUUGGGAAAGAAAUCCAUCUGGUUAAUACCCGGGUGGGAUGACGGUACCCAAAGAAUAAGCACCGGCUAACUUCGUGCCAGCCGCCGCGGUAA
rnacentral:rRNA from 1 species